GCCAAGUGGUUUUGAGACUGAGGGGAGGAGCUUUGUGAAAGUGGGUGUGGCUCUGGUGUGGGUGUGGCCUGACCUGGCCCCACCCCCUCCCUCCCCCAGCCCCUCCCCCUCCUGCUGCACCGCGUGGCCGAGCUCCGCCACGAGCUCCGGAGGGCGGGGCUUCCCAAAAAGGGGGCAAGGCUUCCCAAAAAGGGGGAGGGGCCUCCUCCUGCAAAGGAGGUGUGUCCUAUCGGGCCCCGCCCCUUCCCGGGCCCCGCCCCUGAGCUGCUGCAGAGGCUGCGAUUGGUCAGUGACAAGUGCCAGGAGUGUCUCGAGGGCUGGCCCCGCCUCCUGGACACCGUCAGCCAAUGGUGGGACCUCCCCGCCCAGCACAUCCAGGCCACGCCCCCCGGCCGCAUCCCGUUCUCCCAUUGGCUGGAGCGCUGGAGGGGGGCGGUACUGGCCUUGGCCACACCCACACCGGAAGAAGGGGAGGAGCCAGCGGAGCCCCGCCCAUGAGGGGGGAGAGGGUUCUGGUUGUCAAUAAAGGUCUUGCAGAUGA